rnacentral:lncRNA from 1 species
AUAGACUGAACAUUUAUAGAGUUGAGGGUUUUUAUUUUUUUGGCAAUGUGAACCUAUCACAAUGUUAUCUAAUGUUUUCUCGUUCUGCUAUGUACGGAGUUUAUAUUUGCAAUCAAAAGAGGGUCCUUUGUGCUUGUUUGGAAUUGUUUUGUCACGAAUUCUAUCAAAAGAACGAUAUGAUUUUUGAAAAAGCUUAGCUUGCUAACCCAUAAAGACUUUUUGAUCAUUUAUAUGCUUCUGUUGUAAGAAUGUUGUUUCUCUUGUCUUCCUACAAAUCUGUUGUAAGAAUGUUGUUUCUCUUGUCUUCCUACAAACAAGUUUUCUGCUUCUUAUGUGUGGUGUAGGGUGUAGGAUGAAACUUUGACAUGCCUUACAUGGUAUUCUAAGCGGUAGCUGGGUUUUUGUUUUUGAGGUAACUUAUUUACACAUUUGAACAGAUCUUUCCUCGAAGGGGAGAAUCGUUUAUCAAUUCCAAGUCAGCAGUAGCUAAAUAGUUGCUCAUAAUAUAGAGUAAAAUAUUUGUUUAGUGAUGCUCUGCUGCAUGAGACGUCAAAUAAAAUGUCUGCUGCAUGAAUCGUCUAUCAAUUAUUUAUUUUGGCAGAUAAUUAUGCGUGGUCUACUCUCUUUUGUAUUCAGUAGGGGUUCGGUUAGAGGUUAUUUGCCACUGUACAGAUUAAUUAUUUAAUUUUUCUUACCUAUGCAUUGUUGAUGUACAGAUAUUUUGCACAGAUUAUCAGGGAAGUGAUAUAUAAUUGCUAUAUUUAUGUUUAUAAGAUGAGUAUCUAGAAGGGUUUGCAAAAAUCGAAGUUUAAUUUUUGACCUUGGGUGAUGACCAGAGAUCAUUUCAUACACUCUCCCCUUUCAUAAGUACCCCAGGUAUAUUUUAGUUUUGAUAUCACAAUUCAAUGCACGAGACCAGACCAAAGAUUAUCCAUAUCAUUCUUUUUUGUUUUCGCUUUUCUGGUUUUGUUCUCUAGCUCAAAACUCGCUCGUUUUUGCUUUUGUUUUAAUAUUUCUGUUGUUUCCUGUUCCAAAGUUGUCAUUAUAUUAUGUAGUUCCAGUUUUAAUUCUUUAUGUUAUCGAUUUUAGUUUUGAAGAGUCCCCGC